rnacentral:sRNA from 2 species
GGGACAUGCCUCGUUCAAUCUGAUGACGGCAUCUGGUGCUAGUUGUUCAAGCCGUGCUUGAAAAGGGUGGUUCGAAGUUGCCAUUCCUAUCUUUAGCUAGGAGUGGCAUCGCAGGCCUGAAUCCUGUCUCGGAAUGCGGCCGGGAGGAGAGAGAACAAAUACCAAAUAAGGCUGCGCCAGGCAGAAUUUUGACAAGACAAUCCCUCACUACGCAAAAAUUGGAGUUUUAAUAGCUCUUGACGAGCAAAGAAAGGAUACGACCCAACAAUGGUCAAAGAAAAAGAGCACUGCAACAUAGUUAUAAAUCAAGAGUAAACUAGAUUUAUUCUAUAAAUAACACAGGGG